AACACUGUUAACCUGCGGUACCUGCGGAGGGAUCAUUACCGAGUUUACAACUCCCAAACCCCUGUGAACAUACCUAUACGUUGCCUCGGCGGAUCAGCCCGCGCCCCGUAAAAAGGGACGGCCCGCCCGAGGACCCCUAAACUCUGUUUUUAGUGGAACUUCUGAGUAAAACAAACAAAUAAAUCAAAACUUUCAGCAAUGGAUCU
rnacentral:misc_RNA from 1 species